UGGGGAAUUUUCCGCAAUGGGCGAAAGCCUGACGGAGCAACGCCGCGUGAGGGACGAAGGCCUCUGGGCUGUAAACCUCUUUUCUCAAGGAAGAAGAUAUGACGGUACUUGAGGAAUAAGCCACGGCUAAUUCCGUGCCAGCAGCCGCGGUAAUACGGGAGUGGCAAGCGUUAUCCGGAAUUAUUGGGCGUAAAGCGUCCGCAGGCGGCUUUUCAAGUCUGCUGUUAAAGCGUGGAGCUUAACUCCAUCAUGGCAGUGGAAACUGAAAGGCUUGAGUAUGGUAGGGGCAGAGGGAAUUCCCGGUGUAGCGGUGAAAUGCGUAGAUAUCGGGAAGAACACCAGUGGCGAAGGCGCUCUGCUGGGCCAUUACUGACGCUCAUGGACGAAAGCCAGGGGAGCGAAAGGGAUUAGAUACCCCUGUAGUCCUGGCCGUAAACGAUGAACAMUAGGUGUCGGGGGAAUCGACCCCUUCGGUGUCGUAGCUAACGCGUUAAGUGUACCGCCUGGGGAGUACGCACGCAAG
rnacentral:rRNA from 1 species